CCUAUAGUGCCCGUGAAGGGAAAGUGGAAGGCAAGGAGAGCUCAGAGUGUGAAGAAAUGUGGAGAGAAGGAAUGAAUAAACAAACGAAUAGAUCUAUGAAUGGAUAAUAUAUUCAUUUCCAUCGGAAUACAUCGUCUUCAACGACAGGUGACCAACCCACUAGGAAUAUCUCUGUAAAACUAAUACAGUUGACCCUUGAACAACAGACUUGUAAUGCAUGGAUCCACUUAUACACGGAUUUUCUUCAGUCUCUGCCACCCCUGAAACAGCAAGACUAAGCUCUCCUAUUCCUCCUCCUCCUCAACCUACCCAAUGUGAAGACAACAAGGAUGAAGACCUUUAUGAUGCUCCACUUCCACUUAAUGAACACUAAGUGUAUUUUCUUGUUCUUAUGAUUUUCUUAAUAACAUUUUCUUUUCUCUAGCUUAUUUUAUUGUAAUAAUACAGAAUAUAAUACAUACAUGUACGAAAUGUGUGUUAAUCAAUUGUUCAUUUAUUGGUAAGGCU
rnacentral:lncRNA from 10 species